AGUUGCUAAGCGCUGAACACCAAGACGACGUGUCUUUGAAUAGAUACGCAGUCCCUUUUUAUGAUAUAUAUAUAUGUACAGCAUUUUGAUCUGUGUAAUAUCUAUUAUUCUCAGAGUUUAACGUGAAACGAACAAAAAAAAACAUAGGAACCCCUAACAUUAUUCUUCAAAAUGUUUGCUUGUAUACGUGAAGUGUAUAUAACUGAACAAAAUGUUUUGGGGAGUAAGAAAAAGUCCCAUCACCAAAUACAUAUUCAGAACCACAUAAUAAUUUAAGAUUAGUUGAGCAUCUGUUUAUACGCUUCGUCUAUGGUAUGAGGCAAAGUAGGAAAAUGACGUUUUCUGACAAGAUAUAUACACUGCCCAAUAAAUGAUAAAUCGGAAUACAAAAUGUCGUCUUCAGAUUUCGGAACACUUUUCACUUGAUUCAAUGCUAAAGUCUUCGGAGUACAGGCAAGAUGAUUAUGAGAUGUAUUAUUAAAUUUAAUAAUAUUAGACUUAUUUGGUGACAUUAAUACACUAGAUCCACAUUUUUUAUUUGCACACCGAAAACGUACUGUACUAUUUUUUAAAACAUUUGAUUGGCAAAAUUUAUAAUUUUCAAUCACUAUAAUUUCGUAUUUCUUAUAGAAUCAAAUUUGGCUUCAACUUUCGUAUCCAUUUUAUUAAAAAUUUAUAAGAUAUUAUAUAUUUAUUAGAAUUUGAAAUUUUUCGUUUAUUUUAUAGAAACU